CGUUUUUUUUUUCUUUUGAAAAAAGUUAUUAGAAUUUGUUUAUUAUUAUUAUUAUUAUUAUUAUUUAAUUGUUAUUUUAGAAGGUAGAACUUAAUUAAUUAGACUAAUCUAUAGAUGAACAUAAAAGAAAAAAUAAAAAUAAAAAUAGAAAGAAAAAAAAUUAAGGUGUGACAAUGUGCGAGAUUUUGUGGUUGGAGAGCCUAGGAAGUUCAAUCAAAAUUUCUUCACUAGUCCCUUGGCUGCAUUUAUUGGAAAUUUGUCUUGGCUGACGCUACUAUCCAUUGCCCACUAUGCAUUCUCUUGGCCAAUUCCCAUGGAGCUUGGAAACCUUAAGCAACUAACUAUGCUUUCCUUUGGAGAAAAUAAUUUCUCUGGAACGCUCCUCCCGCACUUGAUAAUUUGUUCUGCUUGUGAAACUUUACAUAAACAGUGCUGGAGUUAAUGGUGAAAUUCCAUCUACAUUUGCUGACCUUCGAAACAUGCAAAUUAUGUGGUCAUCAGACUGUCUAUUCUCAGGCAAGAUCCCUGACUUCAUCGGGAACUGGACAAACCUAACUUCUUUGAGAUUCCAAGGCAACUCUUUUGAAGGUCUAAUACCAUCCAGUUUUUCUCAAUUGAUCUCACUGAAUUCUCCUUAAAAUUAUUGGAGCAAGAGCAGUUUUAGUGAUGUAUACAGCACCUCCAAAACAAACAGUUCUAAGAAAUGGUAGCAUUCCAUCUGAUAUUGGAGAAUACCCACGUUUACAAAUACUGUAUUUUCCAAGACUAGAAAAUCUCAUAUGCCCGAGUGUUUCAAUACAGCCACUGCGAGUAUUUGACUGCUCAUCCGGAGUGCAACUCAGGAGGGUUUUACAAUUACAUUUCAUUCGUGUACCGUGAUUGUGAGAAAUUCGGCAUUUUGGGGUAUGUAGUGUUGGCAAUUUGGUUAGCUUCAUUGUUCUAUCUACUAGGUAAUGCUACAGAAGACUACUUUUUUGGUUCUUUGGAGAAGCUUUUGAGCCUCUUGAAGUUGCCAGCAACUGCAGCGGCUCUGCUUCCUCUUGGUAAUGGAGCUCCUGAUGUGUUUGCAAGCACUACUGCUUUUGUGGGAAAGGAUAAGGGUGAAGUAGGUCUUAAUAGUGUGUUGGAAGGAGCCAUCCUCGUUACUUGUAUUGUACAUGUUGUGUGUACUAAAUAUCUCUUUGUGUAGCAGUGAAAUUCAGCUUGAUAGGAAAUGUUUCAUCAGACACAUUUGUUUCUUUCUCUUUACUCUUAUGUCACUUAACUUCAUAUUUACGAUUGGUGAGGUUAGUGUUGGAGGUGCAAUAGCAUUUGUUUCAAUUUAUGUGGUUUAUGCCCAGCAAAGUUUUAUUUAUCUGAUGUGCAGAAAUGGGCAAUUAGCAAUGUGGAAUUGUUUUUAUAUAGAUAAGGUCCAUUAUAUUCUGCGACCACUAGCACAAAUCACUGGCUCUGAUGUGACUCCAGAGCUUUUCCAGAUGGCAAGGAUGUCUCCAGGAUCUCUUAGAUACUAUGGUCUAGGUCUUGCUCUUGAGAAUGGACGUUAUACUAUAAACCUGCAAUUUGCUGAAAUUGCUUUUGAUGAUCGAGGCUCACAAACUUGGAUAAGUCUAGGAAGCUUUUUGAAUUAGGCCCUGAACAAACACUUCCACUUAUGCUGAAUUAAGAGCUGUUGCUGAAGAUUUCAAUAUUUCAAGGGUACACUUUCUGAUGUGAGGGUAGUAGCUGUAAAGCAACUUUCAGUAGCAUCGUAUCAAGGAAAGAGUCCAUUUAUAACUGAAAUCGACACCAUAUCUGCAGUACGACAUCGUAAUAUAGAGAAAUUGUAUGGAUGCUGCAUCAAAGGAAGUAGACAAAUCUUGGUUUAUGAAUAUCUUGAAAACAAAAGCGUUGAUCAUGCACUCUAUGGUAUGAAGGCUACUAAAUAUUGUUUUUAUCUCUUGGAUCCAUAAGAAUAUACUGUUAGUUACGCGUAAACAGAAAUCUUAAAUUAUACAUAUUCAACUUAUAUAUAAUUAUUUUAUAUAAAGAUUCUGGCUGAAGACAAGAAAUGAAAGAUAUGUAAUUGUGAAAUUACAAGUUUCCUUUAGGCUGCGUUGUCAUACAUGGAGGCAACCACAAGAUAUCUAGACGUAAGACUUUAUUGAUUUGUGGAAAAUGAGUGGAGAAAAGGGUUGUUUGAGGGGUAGAUGCACGCCUUAUAAUGAAGGCUUCUCUUUCUAUUUAUAGGCACUUCACAUUAGGAACAAGGUAAUGCCACGUGUCAGGUUCUAUGAAAACUAGUUCAUGGGCUUCUCCUCAUUUGCUCUUUUCCAAGUGGCAUAUAUGAUAUUAAGGUGUGUAUGUCUGAAUGGAAACUAUUGUGUCAAUUCAAACUAUUUAAAUGUAUAGGUCCAUGUAGAAUUUACUUCA